GUCAUCCCUUGGUAGAAAUACUGCAACAAAUCUCCAUCAGAAAAUUUAUGGUUCGGGCAACUAUCCACCAAUCGUCUGAAUCGGGUCCAGUAUGCGCUCAAUGACUCAUCAAACUCUUGCUUAACUCCGCUGAUCUCCUUCUUCAAGGCAUUCGUCUUGGUAGGAGGAAAGAAGUGCUCCAAAAACUGUUUCUUCAUCUCGGCCCAUGUUGAGAUGGAAUUCGGUGGAAGACUAGCAAACCAAGAAUUCGCCUCGGCCGAUUGGGUAAAUGGAAAGGCAGCCAAUCGAAAGUGCUCCUCCGUCACUCCAGUGGGGCGUUUCUGCACCUUGCAGAUCUUGAUGAAUUCGCUCAAGAAAUUGUACGGAUCUUCUCCCUUCUUGCCAUAGUACUUCGGGAGAACAUUAAGCAGUCCAAG
rnacentral:lncRNA from 1 species